rnacentral:rRNA from 1 species
AGGGCGUAUGGUGGAUGCCUUGGCAGACAGUACCGAUGAAGGACGUUUGAGGAUGCGAUAAUCCUAGGGGAGCCUCCAACAUGGCUUUGAUCCUAGGGUCUCCGAAUGGGGGAACCCGCCGGCCGUCAUGGGCCGGCACCGCCUAUGGGCGGGGGGUACGCAGGGAAGUGAAACAUCUCAGUACCUGCAGGAAGGGAUACUCCGUGAGUAGUGGCGAGCGAAAGCGGAUCAGACCAAACCGGUUGCGCGUGAUACCCGUCGGGGGUUGCGUUGCCGGUGUUGUGGGAUCACGUGUCCCGGUUCCGACGGGCCGGGCGGGAGUCAUAAAACGGCUUGCCAGGGGAACAGGCUUGAAGGCCUGGCCGUAGAGGGUGCCAGCCCCGUACCUGGACGUGAGCCGUCUUCCGAUCGUGUUGUCCCAAGUAGCGCGGGCCUCGUGGAAUCCCGCGUGAAUCAGCCCAGACCGUUGGGUAAGUCUAAGCAUACCUGUCUGACCGAUAGCGUACCAGUACCGUGAGGGAAAGGUGAAAAGCACCCCGGGAGGGGAGUGAAACAGUUCCUGAAACCGUGCGCCCACAAACCGUCGGAGCCUCCUUGUGGGGUGACGGCGUGCCUAUCGAAAAAUGAGUCUGCGAGUCAGUGGCGGGUGGCGAGCAUAAGCCGUGUGGCGUAUGCGUAGCGAAAGCGAGUCUUAAAAGGCGUUUUUAGUCGCUUGUCCUGGACCCGAAGCGGGAUGAUCUAGCCCUGGGCAGGUUGAAGCGCGGGUAAGACCGCGUGGAGGACCGAACCCACCUGGGUUGAAAACCGGGGGGAUGACCUGGGGCUAGGGGUGAAAGGCCAAUCAAAUUCCGUGAUAGCUGGUUCUCUCCGAAAUGCAUUUAGGUGCAGCGUCGGUCGAUUGCGUCGCGGGGGUAGAGCUACCGGAUGCUUGCGGGCCCUUGUUGGGUACCAACAGCAGCCGAACUCCGAAUACCGUUGACGUGUAUUCCGGCAGUGAGUCGGCGGGGGAUAAGCUCCGUCGUCGAGAGGGAGACAGCCCAGACCGUCGUCUAAGGUCCCGAAGCGUGUGCUAAGUGGGAAAGGAUGUGGAGUCGCAUAGACAGCCAGGAGGUUGGCUCAGAAGCAGCCAUCCUUGAAAGAGUGCGUAACAGCUCACUGGUCUAGUGGUUCCGCGCCGACAAUGUAGCGGGGCUCAAGCACACCACCGAAGACGCGGCAGCAAUCUUCAUGGUUGCUGGGUAGGAGAGCGUCCUGCGAGGGGCGAAGCGGCCGGGUAACCGUGCCGUGGACUUCGUGGGAGUGAGAAUGCAGACAUGAGUAGCGAGAGACGGGUGAGGAUCCCGUCCGCUGGAUGACCAAGGGUUCCGGGGCCACGUUCGUCGUCCCCGGGUGAGUCGGGUCCUAAGGCGAGGCCGACAGGCGUAGUCGAAUGGAUGAACGGGUGGAUAUUCCCGUACCGACCAUGGACCGGCAAAACCGAGACGGUGAGUACUAACCUCCGCCUCGUGGUGGUUCCUUCCUUCGGGUUGGUAUCGCCGCGUGGUGUUGGGAGCGUAGCCGCAGUAGGUCAGCGCAGGGGUGACACGGAAUGGGAGCCGGCCGCGGAGGUGGUUUUCCGUGGUCAAGCACGCAGCCAGUCAUGUAGGCAAAUCCGCAUGGCGCGCAUGGCGAGGUGUGAUGAUGGGAGCCGUUAUGGCUCGAUAUCCGGUUGUCCAGGCCGUCGAGAAAAGCCUCGGCGUGAGGGCCAUGGCCGCCCGUACCCCAAACCGACACUGGUGGUCAGGUAGAGAAUACCAAGGCGAUCGAGCGAAUCCUGGUCAAGGAACUCGGCAAAUCACUCCCGUGCCUUCGGUAUAAGGGAGACCCGCUGGGGUGAACCGGCUAGCCCGGGGAGCUUUGGUGGGUGGCACAGACCAGGGGGUAGCGACUGUUUACCAAAAACACAGGUGCAUGCGAAGGCGAAAGCCGCUGUAUAUGCACUGACGCCUGCCCGGUGCCGGAAGGUUAAGAGGAUCCGUCAAUCCCUUCGGGGACGAAGCGGUGAAUUCAAGCCCCGGUAAACGGCGGUGGUAACUAUAACCAUCCUAAGGUAGCGAAAUUCCUUGUCGGGUAAGUUCCGACCUGCACGAAUGGCGUAACGA